rnacentral:rRNA from 1 species
GAGACUCUGUGCGCGUGCAUAUCAAUAAGCGGAGGAAAAGAAACUAACAAGGAUUCCCUUAGUAACGGCGAGUGAAGCGGGAAGAGCUCAAAUUUGAAAUCUUCAAGGUUUUACCUUGACGAAUUGUAGUUUAAAGAAGUGUUUUCUGUUGGAGUUUCGGUAAAAGUUCUUUGGAAUAGGACAUCAUAGAGGGUGAGAAUCCCGUAUUUGACCGUUACUUUCCAGCUGUGUGAUACACUUUCAAAGAGUCGGAUUGUUUGGGAAUGCAGUCCAAAAUGGGUGGUAAAUUUCAUCUAAAGCUAAAUAUUGGCGAGAGACCGAUAGCGAACAAGUACCGUGAGGGAAAGAUGAAAAGAACUUUGAAAAGAGAGUUAAACAGUACGUGAAAUUGUCAAAAGGGAAGCGUUUGACACCAGUGUAUGUUUAGUUGAAAAUCAAUUCAAUAAUUUUUGAUUCUGAGUAGUAUUGACUUCAUCAGCUUGCUGCUUUCUUCUCAGGAAAUUAUUGAAUGCACUUUUCAGUUAACAAGUCAACAUCAAUUUCUUUUGUUGUAAAAGGGUAAGAGGAAGGUGGCUUACGCUUCGGCGUAAGUGUUUAUAGCCUUUUACCUCUGCAAUCGGAGAGAUUGAGGACAGCAGCGUAGACUCUUCGGGGUUAGAUACACUUGUGCUAAGCUAUAGCCUUGUAUAGACAACUUGUUGACUAUGCUCAGUCAUGUAGCUUACUCGCUUGUGCUAUUUUACCUACGCUUAGGAUGUUGAUCUGUAGUGCGUGCGC